rnacentral:rRNA from 1 species
UACAGAGGGGGCAAGCGUUGUUCGGAAUUACUGGGCUUAAAGAGUUCGUAGGCGGCGCAGAAAGUAGGGUGUGAAAGCCCUCGGCUUAACCGAGGAAUUGCGCUCUAAACUACUGUGCUUGAGGAACCUAGAGGUGAGCAGAACAGAUGGUGGAGCGGUGAAAUGCGUUGAUAUCAUCUGGAAUACCGGAGGCGAAGGCGGCUCACUGGGGGUUUUCUGACGCCGAGGAACGAAAGCCAGGGUAGCGAACGGG